CUUUGUUUUGUUGUUUUCUAUUCUUGAGGCUUAGGAAUUAUUUGCACCUUGUCGUGAACUCUCUGUAUUUGCUCUUGUGAAGUCUUCCCUUUAUGGUAGACUUGGAUAAAGAUAUUCCUACCUCCUGGAGAGUGUUCUUAACUUGGCUGGAUGUAGGGAAGGGGUUUUUCUUUACCAUGAAAUGGAUCCUACGAUUACCCACGACGGUUGUCUUCCAUUGACUUCCAGGUCUUUUUGUGUUGCAAAGCAACAG